rnacentral:misc_RNA from 1 species
GAAAUGCGAUAAGUAAUGUGAAUUGCAGAAUUCAGUGAAUCAUCGAAUCUUUGAACGCACAUUGCGCCCGCCAGUAUUCUGGCGGGCAUGCCUGUUCGAGCGUCAUUUCAACCCUCAAGCCCUCGGGUUUGGUGUUGGGGAUCGGAGGAGCCCUAGCGGCUGCGCCGUCCCCUAAAUCUAGUGGCGGUCUCGCUGUAGCCUCCAUUGCGUAGUAGCUAACACCUCGCAACUGGAACGCGGCGCGGCCAAGCCGUUAAACCCCCCAACUUUUUUCUGAAUGUUGACCUCGGAUCAGGUAGGAAUACCCGCUGAACUUAA